rnacentral:rRNA from 1 species
UGGGGAAUAUUGGACAAUGGGGGCAACCCUGAUCCAGCCAUGCCGCGUGAGUGAUGAAGGGCCUUCGGGUUGUAAAGCUCUUUUGGCGGGGGACGAUAAUGACGGUACCCGCAGAAUAAGCCCCGGCUAACUUCGUGCCAGCAGCCGCGGUAAGACGAAGGGGGCUAGCGUUGUUCGGAAUUACUGGGCGUAAAGCGAGUGUAGGCGGUUGCCGUAGUCAGGUGUGAAAGCCUUGAGCUCAACUCAAGAAAUGCACUUGAUACUGGGUGACUAGAGGACCGGAGAGGAUAGUGGAAUUCCCAGUGUAGUGGUGAAAUACGUAGAGAUUGGGAAGAACACCAGUGGCGAAGGCGGCUAUCUGGACGGUUACUGACGCUAAGACUCGAAAGCGUGGGGAGCAAACAGGAUUAGAUACCCUGGUAGUCCACGCCGUAAACGAUGGGUGCUAGACGUUGGCGAGCUUGCUCGUCAGUGUCGCAGCUAACGCGUUAAGCACCCCCGCCUGGGGGAGUACGG